rnacentral:siRNA from 1 species
UGUCGUAUUCGCUUAACUCCAC